GAUGAAGAACGCAGCGAAAUGCGAUACGUAGUGUGAAUUGCAGAAUUCAGUGAAUCAUCGAAUCUUUGAACGCACAUUGCACCUCUCGGUAUUCCGGGAGGUAUGCCUGUUCGAGCGUCACUUGUACCCUCAAGCUCUGCUUGGUGUUGGGUGUUUGUUCCGCCUCUGUGUGUGAACUCGCCUCAAAACAAUUGGCAGCCGGCGUACUUGUUUCGGAGCGCAGCACAUUUUGCGAUCCAGAUCAACGUACAGCGGCAUCCAAGAAGCCUUAUUUAACGCUCUUGACCUCGGAUCAGGUAGGGAUACCCGCUGAACUUAAGCAUAUCAAUAAGCGGAGGA
rnacentral:misc_RNA from 1 species